rnacentral:rRNA from 1 species
AGUAUGAAGGCCAGGCUAAAGACCUUGCCAGAUCAGCUGAGAGGAGGUGCAUGGCCGUCGCCAGUUCGUACCGUGAGGCAUCCUGUUUAGUCAGGCAACGAUCGAGACCCGCAGUCUUAUUUGCCAGCAUGCCCUUUGGGGUGUAUGGGUACAAUAAGACGACGCCAGCGCUAAGCUGGAGGAAGGAGCGGGCUACGGUAGGUCAGCAUGCCCCGAAUCCUCCGGGAUACACGCGGGCUACAAUGGUCAGGACAAAAGGUACCGACCUCGAAAGAGUGAGGUAAUCCACAAACCUGAUCUCAGUCCGGAUCGAAGGCUGCAACUCGCCUUCGUGAAGAUGGAAUCGGUAGUAAUCGUGACUCAAAAUGUCACGGUGAAUAUGUCCCUGCUCCUU